GAUGAACGCUAGCGGCAGGCUUAAUACAUGCAAGUCGAGGGGCAGCAGGGUGUAGCAAUACAUCGCUGGCGACCGGCAAACGGGUGCGGAACACGUACACAACUUUCCUUUAAGUGGGGCAUAGCCCGAAGAAAUUCGGAUUAAUACCCCGUAACAUUAUGUUGUGGCAUCACAUUAUAAUUAUAGAUUUAUCGCUUAGAGAUGGCUGUGCGGCUGANAGGUAGUUGGCGGGGUAAAGGCCCACCAAGCCUUCGAUCAGUAACUGGUGUGAGAGCACGACCAGUCACACGGGCACUGAGACACGGGCCCGACUCCUACGGGAGGCAGCAGUAAGGAAUAUUGGUCAAUGGACGCAAGUCUGAACCAGCCAUGCCGCGUGAAGGAUGAAGGUCCUCUGGAUUUGUAAACUUCUUUUAUCUGGGACGAAACACUCGUUUUCUAACGAGCUUGACGGUACCAGAGGAAUAAGCACCGGCUAAC
rnacentral:rRNA from 1 species